UACAGAGGCCCCAAGCGUUACUGAGAAUCACUGGGUUUAAAGGGUGCGUAGGUGGCGCGUUAAGUCCGUUGUGAAAUCCCUGGGCUCAACCCAGGAAAUGCUUCGGAUACUGGCGUGCUUGAGGCCGGUAGGGGUCACUGGAACUGACGGUGGAGCGGUGAAAUGCGUAGAUAUCGUCAGGAACGCCAAUGGUGAAGACAGGUGACUGGGCCGGAUCUGACACUGAGGCACGAAAGCGUGGGGAGCGGACGGG
rnacentral:rRNA from 1 species